AAAACUAUUCUCAGUUCGGAUUGUAGGCUGCAACUCGCCUACAUGAAGCCGGAAUCGCUAGUAAUCGUGGAUCAGCAUGCCACGGUGAAUACGUUCCCGGGCCUUGUACACACCGCCCGUCACACCACGAGAGUUUGUAACACCCGAAGUCGGUAGGGUAACCUUUAUGGAGCCAGCCGCCGAAGGUGGGACAGAUAAUUGGGGUGAAGUCGUAACAAGGUAGCCGUAUCGGAAGGUGCGGCUGGAUCACCUCCUUUCUAAGGAA
rnacentral:rRNA from 1 species